GGAGCCGACCAGACAGUCGCGUCAUCGAGCCAUCGAUGCCGAGGAAAGUCCGGGCUCCACAGGGCACGGUGCCAGGUAACGCCUGGGCGGCGCAAGCCGACGGAAAGUGCAACAGAAAGAUACCGCCGAUGUCCCUGCCGCUGCGGAACACGUGUCGGACGAAGUCCGACAAAGUGCUCCGCACCGCCGCAAGGCGGAGGCAGGGGCAGGCAAGGGUGAAAUGGUGCGGUAAGAGCGCACCGCGAGCCUGGCAACAGGCCGGCACGGCAAACCCCACCGGGAGCAAGGCCAAAUAGGGACCCCAUGACGUUGCCCGCGUCGGGUCCGGGUAGGCUGCUGGAGCGUAGCGGUGACGCUGCGCGUAGAGGAAUGACUGUCGCGGCGUUCGCGCCGAACAGAACCCGGCUUAUCGGUUGGCUCCGCCC
rnacentral:RNase_P_RNA from 1 species